rnacentral:lncRNA from 1 species
GUAUAAUACUUUAUUGGGGGACUUGUCUGGGAAGCCAUCUUUCACAAUUAACACUACUCUGCAUCAUCAUGAAUCAUGUGUCUCCAUGUUUAAAACUGUGCUGAUCCCCAAUACUCUUUUUAAAGCUCUCUUCUCUUCACCCCUAGCAGAUGAUUCUCUCAUGGUUUCUCUGUCUCUCUCUUCUCUCUUUAACCAUUCCUUCAUAGUCUCGUUUGUUGAAUCUUUACCUGCUUUUUAAUAAGCAGAUUCUAAUAGUUCUGUCUUUGGAUCUAGUGCUGCACUUUCUGGAAGAUCACCUCCCACUUUGUAUCUUCAGCUAUCACCUGUAUAUUCUAGAUUAAGGCUAAUAGCACUUUCUGUGAUGAUGGAAAUACUCUGUGCUAAGUAAAAUAGUAGCCACUAGCCAUAAUAUUGCUUUUGAGCAUUUGAAAUGUAAUUAGUACAACUAAGGAACUGAAUGUCUAAUUUAAAAUAAUUAGCCACAACAAUUUUUUGAAUCCUACUUGACAGAGUUGCAAUGGUAAGCUCCAGCAACCAAUGCCUAACUAAAGCUCCCUCUGGUGAUUUUGAUGCAUAUGUGCAGAAAAUAUGUUCUUGGCUUGGUAUUUGGUGGGUAUAUAAAAACUUUUAAAAGAUCAGGGAUAUUUUUGAAGGUUAGUUGCUAUAGCAGAACUGUAUGUUCUGAAAACUCUCAAUGGCAUUUGCAUGCCUUCUGGCAGUAUACUAAGUUGAAUAGCCUAUGAGUUGCUACAGGAAAUUUCUUCCUAAAGUUUUUUGUUUUAAAUAUAAUUUUUUAGUUGCAGAUGGACACAAUACCUUUAUUUUAUUCAUUUAUUUUUAUGUGGUGCUGAGGAUUGAACUCAGUGCCUCAAACAUGCUAGGUAAGCUUUCUACCACUG